rnacentral:rRNA from 1 species
AUGAACGCUGGCGGCGUGCUUAACACAUGCAAGUCGAACGGAAAGGCCCAAGCUUGCUUGGGUACUCGAGUGGCGAACGGGUGAGUAACACGUGGGUGAUCUGCCCUGCACUUCGGGAUAAGCCUGGGAAACUGGGUCUAAUACCGGAUAGGACCACAUUUUGGAUGGUGUGGUGGAAAGUUUUUCGGUGUGGGAUGAGCUCGCGGCCUAUCAGCUUGUUGGUGGGGUAAUGGCCUACCAAGGCGUCGACGGGUAGCCGGCCUGAGAGGGUGUACGGCCACAUUGGGACUGAGAUACGGCCCAGACUCCUACGGGAGGCAGCAGUGGGGAAUAUUGCACAAUGAGCGCAAGCCUGAUGCAGCGACGCCGCGUGGGGGAUGACGGGCUUCGGGUUGUAGACUCCUUUCGCUAGGGACGAUGCGUUAUGUGACGGUACCUGGUGAAGAAGCACCGGCUAACUACGUG